CAAGUAACAAACGCAUAAAAGGUAACAAACAAGAGCACCUAUUAUGCUCUUUGCUCUUUAUAAUCUACUUAGAAACGGUAAAUUGCACUAAGUUAAACUAGUAAAUAUCUAUCAUUUAAGAAAAGUCUACCAUUUAGACAAUUCUUAGACCAUCCACAUCAGCAAAUGCUCCCUCAAUUUUCCACGUCACUUUUCUCAAUUUUGUGCUCUGCCUUCAUUAUGCUACGACAGUUACAAUUCUCACGUACGUUGCAGUUACUAAGUAUCCUCUUUCUCUUCCAAAACCUUCCUCUUAUUAUUCCAAAACGGUUUCGAAAUCCUUUUUCCUUUCACACUCAGAACGAAUCUCCUUCCUCUCUCUCUCCGAGCCAAAACGGCAACGCCUCCACUCUUCUUCUCCGACGAACUGCUCUGAUUCAUCCCCUCUGAUAGUCUUCCGCAUCCGUUCAUCGGUUUGGUUAUGUUGCUGAGGUGUUUUGUUCGCGUUUGAACCUGUGGUGUUUGGUUUUGAAUGUUUGAUGAUGAAUGUUGAUUUGAAACAGCUCUGAAUUGCCAAAGCUAGGUGAGAUCUUUCCUGAGUUUAUGUUAUUUUCUCUUUAAUCUCUCUUCUUCUCUCUCAAACUUUCUGCUUUAUUUUCUCCAUUCAAAUGUGAUUUAGGUGUAUUAAUGUUGCCUAAUUUAGUUUUAUUUUUGGAAUGAAUUAAUAGGCCACCAAGUGUUUGUUAUAAUGAUUGAAGAUUGUUGGAGAAUGUAAGAGAAUCAAUUCAAGAUUGAAGAUGUUAUGAGAUUGAAAUCGGUGAUGGUGAUUAUGGAGAGAAGAUUUGAGAUAUGGAGGAGGAUUUGGGAAUCGCAAACUCUGUCCUCUGAUUCUGUUAUUUUGUUCCGGUUAUAAUUAUUUCCUCUCAUUUUCUGUUAUGGAAAUUGAGAUCCUCGUCGUCAUCUUCUUCCAAUUCUCCCCACCUUAUCUUUGCCGCUUCGUUUGGAUAAACAAUGUGUUCGGUUGUUCUUCAACUACUGGGAAUUAGAAUUCAAGUUGUUUCUUUGUGACUGCAAAAGCAAAAAAGAAACAGUGGAAUGCAGGAUUUUGGUGACAAAUAUAUGGGUAACAUACAUUCAGCAUUCAGGAUUUCGCGUAUCUUUAUGAUCCAAACAAUGAGACUGCUGAAGCAUUUGUGCCAGCUCAGAUAUUGUAUGAUGCAUUCCAUGGAAGGUAUCACAAUUUUGCAGGAGCAAUAGUUCUACUAUUUGUGAUUUGGGGUUCAUUCUUAUUUGGUGGACUAUCAAUCACCACAAGUGCUGCCAGAGUCGUAAGUACUACGAUGUUACAAGAGUAUGUACCGACGCAUUUGUAUAUUCAUUCAUUAUGGUUUCGUUGAUUUGAUUUUAGUGGUAUGUAGUUGGACAAUUUCUCCGUUUUACCGGAUCGGGUUUAUAUGCUUACUUUAAGCUCAUUGGCAAAUAACAUGUUCAAGUCCUGUAGAUGAAAAUGAGGGCGACCAAUGCAUCUGUCGAAGAUGACCAGAAUAUUAGAUGAAACGGACAUUCGGUUCUGUGGAAAAUGUGAUGGACUAAUCUAAAGAAUGAAGAAAUUGAUGACUGGCUUGAUGAUUCAUUCUCAACUACAGGACCCAAUAAGAUUCACCCAUUAAUACUCAAGAUGUCGGUAAUGCUUUUCUCCUCUCCGGUGGCAGCGAAGGCAUCGCCGCCUCACUCACCGCCGUUACACAUCCUGAUUCCAUCCAUGAUGGACGUUCUUACAUUCGAUUUGAGAAUAUAACCUUUAGGAGAAGAAAAUAUGAAGCCAAGGCGCGUGGAACAGUGCCAGUACACAUUAUUAUUUUUGAGGCUGCUGAUCGUGAUGAUAUAGGUGGUUCUGUUUAUGGCGGACAAAGAGCAAUCUGUUGCACCCGUGAUUUAGCAAAGAUGGGAGGUUGUAAGCAAGGAGAGGUUAUCCGGAGAGCUUUCCGCCUGAUGUAACCACACCUGGUGUGAACAUACUUGCUGCCUAUUCACUAUUUUGAUGAGCUUUCCACCAUCCGAAUUGGAGUCCAGCAGCUAUGGAAUUAGCUAUCAUGAACACAGGUUGUUUUAGUGGUGAAGUUGAAGGUUGUAUUGAUCAGGCUGCCGAGACUGAAGUACCUAUGAUCAGGCUCCCGACGAUGGAGAAAUCCGGCUGCGUUUUAUGAAUGGAGUUCAGCGCGAAUGCGAACAAAAUUGAAGGGCAAAGGUGCAUGGGAUGCUCUCUCAAAUGGAUUUGAAUAUAGUUUCUUCAUUUGCAGAAAAAUUGGUGAAAGAGCAAGCAUCGAUGAACACAGUUUGAUGAUGUUGCUGAGGUCGGGUUUUGUGAUUUCAUGACUGCAUUGUUCUCAUUUGAAGGUUUGGCGUCGUGAAAAGAUUGUAACAAUACUUGAUCACUAUAUCUUCACAAGUGAUGAACGUGUCAAUUGCAAUGUAGACAUACUUAGGGAUUCUUUCCGGGAGCAAAAUAUUAACUACUUUUAUGAUAUUAAGGAAGUUAGUAAUUUUAAGGUAAAUCCAGAUUACAAAGGUGUUUGUCACGUUGCUCUUGCUCAAGAAGGUCAUUGUAGGCCAGGAGAGGUUCAAAUAGUUUAACAAGUUAUUUGAAAGAACAAUCAGGAAAAGGAAAUAGAAGAGUUUGUUUUGUGAAUAGCCAUGCUGAAUCUGACGUUUCUAUGCAAAACCAGGUGCGGGACACCAACCGCUUCCCUUACCUACGUACCGCUUUGGAGAUCCACGCAAACCGCGACACGCAGCACCUCCGGCCGGACCACUGGCAGCCGCAAGACCUCCACCGAGCAACCACCAGAAGAAGCGGUCGUGGAUCCACCCGACCCGCUCCGAUAAAAGGCCGAUCCGCCGCCAUCAUCUUCUUACGGUUCUGUCGAUUUCUUUUCAUUAUUUCUUCUUUUGAUCCUUUUAAUGGUUGAUUUUCUUUGAAUGUGUGUAUUGUAUUUUAGAAAGAAAAAGGUUGGGUUUUGAGAAAAAUAAAUGGUGAUAGAAUUUGUGUAGGAGAAGAAGAGGAGGAUAAAAGACAUGUGUUGUUGUUUCUUUCUGAAAGUGACUUGCUUAUAUGACUUCUAUUAUGUUUUAUUUUUAUUUUUAUUUGCCAUGCCACAUGUCAUUUGUUUCAUUGGUGAAUGAAUUGCAUUAGAAGUAUCAAAAUUGUUUUGUUAUCACUAUGUCUCUAAUGUUGAAUACCACCUGAACAUCAUGAAGGUUCACCGCCCCACCUUGUGUUUUUUUUAUUUUUAUUUUUAUUUAGUUUUUUUUUACCAUGGAUAAUUAAACUUAUAAUUUAUUUUUAUUUUUUGUUGUCACUUGGUUCAACUUAUUCGCUUUCCAAUUUACACCCUUGUUUUUAUAAUAAGCACCCCCUUUUAGGUUUUAUUUAUUUAGAUAAUUAAUUAGUUUCAUUAGUAUUUGUCUUUUAAUCAAAUUUAAAAUAAUUAGGUGAAUCAUGUUUAAUGAUAGUAAACUAAUUUUCUUUUCUUAGUUCAUUAGAGUAACAAUUUCAAGGAAAAAUAAAAAACACAAAAAAUAAUAUUUUUUUUCUCACCAUAAAAAAAAAAAACAAACAAAAAAUAUAUUUCGCUUAAUUAUAAUUUCUUUUUAGAAUUUUGAUAUGCAUAUUCUUUAACCUUGAUUGGUAUUAUUAAAUAUUUCUUCACUAUUUUUUAUGCAUUGUUUCUUAUAUUCGUACUAACAUUCUCUUGAGUUUUGCGAGGUACUAUAUUUGAGGCCUCGGACUUUCUCGUGGACAUUUAUAAUUCAUUCUGAUUUGUAUAUAUUUUAUUCUCGCUUUUUUUUUUUUAAGUAUUAUGUAUCUACACAUGGAUUGUAAUAGCCUUAACUAGAUUUUUAUUUUUCGCACUUCCUUUUAUUGUUGGGUUAUGUAUCCCCUCAUCCCGAAGCCAUGUAAUAGUGUAGGUUUUACUUUCCCGCACUUUAAUUUUCUGUACAAAUAUUAAUUGUUAGAUGUAUGUUAAUAGGAUUGUAUGGUAAGACUAAAACUGAACAUAGCUAACUCUAAACUUAAGAUUAAAAUACCUGAAAAUAAUACACUUGCACGCACUCACCCCUAGGUUACGCCCCUCUUGGUUGCCUACGAUUAAAAAAGGUCGAGUCCCUCAAAACGUAGAGAUACCAAUUAGCAAAAGUCCCUCGAUUAAAAAUCAUCAAAGAUCAUGGUCCCUCGAUGCUGCCUAUAAAUACAUGAUCUCGUCCCUCGAAUGAUCGCCUAACGAAAGAUGAUUGUCCCUUCGAAUUUGCUAAAGGUAUCUCUACCUGUUGCCUUCCAACGACCUCGAUGACCCUUCGAUGACCCGCACGUCCAAUAUAACAAGGAUUUCCUACUUCUAUAUAGUAUGGAUAAUCCUGGGAAUCGUAAAAAGCAUAGAAAAAGACCAAUCUAGGGUAGUGCUCUUAAUAUGCCUAGCUCUAUUAAAAAACAUCUUUUCAACACUUUUUCAAAGACUAAGGCUACGCAUUUACGCUAAAGUCCUUAUGUCCCUUUUCAAUUCAAAACAAACAAAACAAACAUGAGCUAAGUAAAUUAAGAGCCCGUAGAUAACUACGGAUGAAAAGGGUGCUUGCACCUUCCCUUUUCAUAACUUACCCCCCGAGCCCGCUUUCUUUCAAAAGGGUCUUUUUCUGUACUUUUUGCCCUUCCUAACAUUGGACAAAAUAAAAGUCGGUGGCGACUCAUGCUCACCGC